GACGAACGCUGGCGGCGUGCCUAAUACAUGCAAGUCGAACGCAGUGGGGACGGGUGAGUAACACGUGGGUAACCUCCCAUCAGAGGGGAUAACACUUGGAAACCGGUGCUAAACCGCGACUGAUAGAUGGACCCGCGGUGCAUUAGCUAGUUGGUGAGGUAACGGCUCACCAAGGCCAAGAUGCAUAGCAGACCUGAGAGGGGGACCGGCCACACGGGGACUGAGACACGGCCCAGACUCCUACGGGAGGCAGCAGUAGGGAAUAUUCGGCAAUGGACGAAAGUCUGACCGAGCAACGCCGCGUGAGUGAAGAAGGUUUUCGGAUCGUAAAGCUCUUUUGUUAGAGAAGCGGUAUCUAACCAGAAAGCCCCGGCUAACUACGUGCCAGCAGCCGCGGUAAUUC
rnacentral:rRNA from 1 species